UGGGGAAUCUUGGACAAUGGGCGCAAGCCUGAUCCAGCAAUGCCGCGUGUGUGAAGAAGGCCUGCGGGUUGUAAAGCACUUUCAGUGGGGAAGAUGAUGACGGUACCCACAGAAGAAGCACCGGCUAACUCCGUGCCAGCAGCCGCGGUAAUACGGAGGGUGCGAGCGUUGCUCGGAAUGACUGGGCGUAAAGCGCGCGCAGGUGGCCCGUUAAGUUGGCUGUGAAAUCCCCUGGCUCAACCAGGGAAGUGCAGUCGAUACUGGCGGGCUCGAGUCCCGGAGAGGGUGGUAGAAUUCCCAGUGUAGAGGUGAAAUUCGUAGAUAUUGGGAGGAAUACCGGUGGCGAAGGCGACCGCCUGGACGGGUACUGACACUGAGGCGCGAAAGCGUGGGGAGCAAACAGGAUUAGAUACCCCGGUAGUCC
rnacentral:rRNA from 1 species